UACACCAGGGCAUCUCUCUCCCUGUACAGUCCCAUUACACCAGGUCAUCUCUCUCCCUGUACAGUCCCAUUACACCAGGUCAUCUCUCUCCCUGUACAGUCCCAGUACACCAGGUCAUCUCUCUCCCUGUACAGUCCCAGUACACCAGGUCAUCUCUCUCCCUGUACAGUCCCAUUACACCAGGUCAUCUCUCUCCCUGUACAGUCCCAGUACACCAGGUCAUCUCUCUCCCUGUACAGUCCCAGUACACCAGGUCAUCUCUCUCCCUGUACAGUCCCAGUACACCAGGUCAUCUCUCUCCCUGUACAGUCCCAGUACACCAGGUCAUCUCUCUCCCUGUACAGUCCCAGUACACCAGGUCAUCCCUCUCCCUGUACAGUCCCAUUACACCAGGUCAUCUCUCUCCCUGUACAGUCCCAGUACACCAGGUCAUCUCUCUCCCUGUACAG